rnacentral:lncRNA from 1 species
GCAGUGAGCUGUGAUUGAGCCACUGUACUACAGUCUGGGUGACAAAGUGAGACCCUGUCUCAAUAAUAGUAAUAGUAAUAAUAAUUGCAUCUAAUUUUCACGUCUGAGAAGAUUCUUUUAACUUAGGGCUAAAGCAAUCAAUGAUCCUUUUAAACGAGUGGUUCCUAAGCAUAUAUGCCAUAAUCAGACAUCUAGAACUGGAAAUGGACCAUCAGAUCAAAGUCCAUGAGGACUCCCACCAGCAUCAGUCUCCAAGAAUCUGUACGUGGCUCCCAGAGACUGAGACCAAGACACAUUAGCAGGAGGCAACUUAUUUGAGGAAGCACCAGAGCCAGUGCCCACAGGAAGAAUGGUCCACAGGUGCACUGGGGCCAGCACAGAUGACUGCAGCUAUGGGUCACGAGCAAUGGCAGGACAACUCAGCAGUCAAGAACCCAGCUACAGUGGAACAGGAGACAUUAAUCCUAGGAAGCAGUGUGUUUACUGGAUGGAACACAGGACUAUGGCACACUGAGAUCAAGCAUUAUUUUUGUCCCAUACUAGUGAUUGGAAGAGAAAGUCCAACCAGACUCAGCUCUGGACUUUGGUUCAUCACUGGGAGUGGAGAAGUGCUCGUCUUCCUUUCAUGUGAACAAAGAAGCCUGUGGGUCCAGAAACCUUUGAUAGUCAUCUUGGAACGACAGGGAGAGAAGCCUGCCAAGAAUGAAACCAACAAUGAAGAAGUAGAAUUGAGAAACAGAGAGAAACUUGGUCUUGAUCUCGUCAUUUUAGGAGCUAAAUGAAGACUGGCCUGCAGCUCUGGACUGUUCAAUUACAUGAACACUUAUAUUCCCUUAUUGCUUGAAACAGCCUGUUUUACUUAAUUUAAAAGAAUAUAUCAAGGUCAGGCUCAUGCCUGUAAUCCCUUUGGGAGGCCGAGGUGGGCAGAUCACUUGAAGCCAGGAGUUCAAGACCACCCUGGCCAACAUGGUGAAACAUACAAAAUAUAAAAAAUACAAAAAA